UACGUAGGGUGCAGGCGUUAAUCGGAAUUACUGGGCGUAAAGCGUGCGCAGGCGGUUUCUUAAGUCAGAUGUGAAAGCCCCGGGCUUAACCUGGGAACUGCGUUUGAAACUGGGAGACUAGAGUGUGGCAGAGGGGGGUGGAAUUCCACGUGUAGCAGUGAAAUGCGUAGAUAUCGAGAGGAACACCAGUGGCGAAGGCGAGUCUCUGGACGACUCCUGACACUGAGGCACGAAAGCUAGGGGAGCAAACAGG
rnacentral:rRNA from 1 species